GUUUUGGAUGCCAGGACAGGAUUUGGGGUUCCAGGGCAGGAUUUGGGGUGCCAGGCACUCACCCUGCUGUUCCUCUGCCCUUUUCCAGACAAGCCAACAGCGAAGAUCGAGCCACACCCGCAGUACCCGCGGGAGGGGGAGAAGCUGCAGCUGCAGUGCGACGGGCAGGGCAACCCCAUCCCACAGGAAUUCCUCUGGGAGAAGGAGGGCAGCGAUGCUCCCCUGCAGCUCAGCUCCGAGAGCGUCCUCAUCUUCCCCUUCCUCAACAAGAGUGACAGUGGCACCUACGUGUGCACGGCCACCAGCUCCAUGGGCAGCGUGGUGGCCAAGUACAACCUGGACGUCAGUGGUGAGUGUGGCGUGGCUGGAGUGUCCUGGGGAAGGGGCAGGGGGGUCACUGCAUCCCCUGUGCCCCAAAAGUGUCACCGUGGCACCCCUGGGAUUGUCCUUGGCUGGGGAGGGGCAGCUCCUGCUGCUCCCCACGUGGUGCUGUGGCCUGGGCUGCCCUGACUGUGCUCUGCUUGUCCCCAUGUCCCCAUAUCCCCAUGUCACACCUGGGACAGGCUGUGUGUCCCCAUGUCACACCUGGGACAGGCUGUGUGUGUGUCCCCAUGUCCCCAUGUCACACCCGGGACAGGCUGUGUGUCCCCAUGUCCCCAUGUCACACCCGGGACAGGCUGUGUGUCCCCAUGUCCCCAUGUCACACCUGGGACAGGCUGUGUGUCCCCAUGUCCCUGCUGGGACAGGCUGUGUGUCCCCAUGUCACACCCGGGACAGGCUGUGUGUCCCCAUGUCCCCAUGUCACACCUGGGACAGGCUGUGUGUGUGUCCCCAUGUCCCCAUGUCACACCCGGGACAGGCUGUGUGUCCCCAUGUCCCCGUGUCCCUGUGUCACACCUGGGACAGGCUGUGUGUGUCCCCAUGUCCCCAUGUCACACCUGGGACAGGCUGUGUGUCCCCGUGUCACACCCGGGACAGGCUGUGUGUCCCCAUGUCACACCUGGGACAGGCUGUGUGUGUGUCCCCAUGUCCCCAUGUCACACCCGGGACAGGCUGUGUGUCCCCAUGUCCCUGUGUCACACCUGGGACAGGCUGUGUGUCCCCAUGUCACACCCGGGACAGGCUGUGUGUCCCCAUGUCACU
rnacentral:lncRNA from 1 species